UACGUAGGGUGCAAGCGUUGUCCGGAAUUAUUGGGCGUAAAGAGCUCGUAGGCGGUUUGUCGCGUCCGCUGUGAAAACCCGGGGCUUAACCCUGGGCUGGCAGUGGAUACGGACAGACUAGAGGUAGGUAGGGGAGAAUGGAAUUCCCGGUGUAGCGGUGAAAUGCGCAGAUAUCGGGAGGAACACCGGUGGCGAAGGCGGUUCUCUGGGCCUUACCUGACGCUGAGGAGCGAAAGCGUGGGGAGCGAACAGG
rnacentral:rRNA from 1 species